GGACACUCUACUCGUACCAGUGGUGAAGAUCAUGAUCCUUCAUGGAAUCCCUCACAUAUAGGGGAUGGUUCAGCUAGACCUAAUGAUGGAAAUGGUGGUACGCCAUCCUCUUCUGAAGCUAAUAGCGUUACCAGGCUUGCUUCAAUCGACUCAUUUGAUUCAAAAUGGAAGCAGUUUUUGGAGCCUGGUGAAUCUGUUCUUAUGAUCUCCAAUGUGAAA
rnacentral:misc_RNA from 1 species